rnacentral:rRNA from 1 species
GGUCCCGCCUGCCCUGUGACUAUAUGUUUAACGGCCGCGGUAUCUUAACCGUGCGAAGGUAGCGUAAUCACUUGUCUUUUAAAUGAAGACCUGUAUGAAUGGCAUCACGAGGGCUUAACUGUCUCCCCUCUCCAGUCAAUGAAAUUGACCUCCCCGUGCAGAGGCGGGGAUAUUUAUAUAAGACGAGAAGACCCUGUGGAGCUUUAGACCUAAAGUAAACCACGUUUAAUGUACUAGAAUUAAUAGCAAAAACUUAGUGGACAUUUAUUUAAGUGUCUUUGGUUGGGGCGACCGCGGAGUAAAACAUAACCUCCAUGUGGACGGGGAUACUUUCCCUAAAACUCAGAGCCUCCACUCCAAGCAACAGAAAUUCUGACCUUACUGAUCCGGUACAACCGAUUAACGAACCCAGUUACCCCAGGGAUAACAGCGCAAUCCCCUCUCAGAGCUCAUAUCGACGAGGGGGUUUACGACCUCGAUGUUGGAUCAGGACAUCCUAGUGGUGCAGCCGCUAUUGAGGGUUCGUUUGUUCAACGAUUAAAGUCCUACGU